CUUAUUGCUGUGAUGAAAUGGAAAUUUAAAUAAAAGGUCGAACACGUGCGUUCACUGGGAAGUAUUGACAUGGGUGUUACAUCACCACCAGCCAAUCAGAUAACUCCAGUCGUGUUUAUACUUCUACAACCACCUUGCACUUUGCAAAUAAAUGCAUUAUUUAUUGUAUUUUGACCACCACUGCCUCCACUAUAAAAAGAGAGAAGAAUUAUUGAAGUUAAUUGCUUAUCUAGGAUUAAGGUAAGGUAAUGUUGUCUCCAUCCACUAGAAUGUAAGCUCCAAAAAAUAAGGAACCAUGCAUGUCCUGUUUGCUAUUAGAGACCUAGCACCCAGAACCAAGCAUGCCAUAAAAUAAUACUCGGUAUAUAUUGGUGGAUUGAAGAAGUUGUUGCUGGAAACAAGAAGCAACCAAGUAUAGUCAAAAUAAUUUCAAGGUUUAAUGCUUGACCAAGAUAAUAAAAGCACUUGUAGUAUUGGACCAAAAUAAAAUUUUCGGGAGUUCAUCCCUCCAACCACCACAAAAGGUGCCUGGAUGGUCUCCUUGGGGCUUCAUGCCAAAAGUUGUGGUUGGGACUUCUGAACAUGUCUGUUUUCCAAUGUAAUAUUUUAAACUGCUUCAACCCCAAAGGAGAAAGUAACCCCAAGUCCUUCUAACAGGUCUAUACAUUUUUUUGGGGAAGAGGAAGAGAAUUUCCAUGCCAUGAUCGACCUUGUCAUCCAGGUACGAAAUGUAAUGCAGAUAAGGCACAGGUUAUGCCCUUCAAGGCCAUGAAUAAUUGUGGCCAACCUUGGUCAAGAGAGUGGAAUUAAAAAAAAAAAAAGAAGUGAAGUCAACUCCUGAGCUACACAGAGAAUACCUGUAUGCACACACACUCUUCUGAGCCUCUGCGACUGCGGAAAACCACGGGGGAGAUGGUGUGAACAGAGAGCCUCUCUCUCUAGCCUCUGGCACACUCAAUGACACCGAGCAUCAGAAAAUUGAAAAUGUCGAGACACCCAAGAUACUUCUGCUGCAGGCCUGUGUUGGAAAUUAUGAUCAUCGUGGAUCACUUCGCAUCCUUGGUUCAAUGCUAUGGACAAACAAUAAAGCUGGAAAAUACUGAUACUAUACUAUAAUCCUAUACGAUCUAGGGAGACCCUAGUACAAGACUAAUUUUUCAAUGGAAAUAGCAUUAAAAUGAACUAUAGAAUUCUGCACCUUGGGCAAUUUAAACCCCUCAUUUUUUUUUUUUGUGGCCAGAAAUGUUCACUAAUUUGUCCAGGAUAACCCAAUUAGAUAGAAACUUAGACUUGUAAGUAUUUUGUCCUCUCAAAAGGGAGAAAGCAUGUGUUUUGAAAGUCUAAGUUUAAUCCUGGGUGUGGGGGGUGGGGGUUUGUGUAAACCCAUAUAGAUUUUCUCUAGCAAUCCCAUGACCUCCCAUGACCAUAGUGUGCAGGACGUGGUAACUGAUAUUGUAACCUCGAGCAUGAGAGUUCAUUGGCAUUGACGUGACCCACAGUUUUACUGAGCUAAUAAUAUGUGAAAAGUGGCCAGAACACACAUGGGCUGCUGUUUGGCAUUCAUAAGGAAGAAGAACCAGCAGAGGAUUCACCGAAGCCUAGAUCACCACAGAAAACCUGAAGCUAACUGGGAACUCGCUGCUGCUCAGAAGCCAGCAGGGCAGAGAGCUGUGAGGAAUAAAGCUAUUCUUUUCGGCAAAGAAUACACUGUAUCUUGUCAAGUCUCAGUGGCAGAGAUGCAGACAGCGACUGGACUCUCUACUAGUUCUGCUCGGCUGGGAAGCACAGUGAUGACGCAGAGUCCCACAUGAUUCCUGUGGCUUAGGACCAUCGGUUGCACUUAACAUAGUAGAACUGAUGACGUCAUUUUUUAAAACCACACUACAAAUACAACAGCAAAAAAAACUGUGCAAGGCCGAUGAGAAAGAUUGUCAACUAGAAUCGCAUGUAAGAAAGACUGAGGAGUUUUGAUGAGCUCAGUAUGAGUCAGCCGUGUGCGCGGGGUGCUGAGAAAGUUAGUACAGAUUCGAGCUCCAUUCAGAGGGUUCUGGUGUUCAGAAUUCAGGAGGGGACAUUUCGUUCCCACAGUAGGUUGAUGAAAGUGGAAUCUAUGUUUAAAAUUACAUACAUGGCUAACGUGUACUCAGUGCUUCCCAUCUAUCAGGUUAUGGGCUAAAUGUUUCGCGUGACCCUCUUACUACACACAAGCCUUGUCACGUCUUGUUGCUGCCUCCCUCCCACCCAGCGUGUGUGUAGAUAAGGACAUCAUCCCUCCACGGAGUUGGGCCCAUAUGUGACCAGGCUUGCGACAGAUUCAGGUCUGUCCGCCCAAACUCAGCCGGGAGCAGAUUCUUGAAAGCGCACUAUUGAAAAACCGCGCCAAGUCUUCGGCCGUACCACCCCGAAUGCUUCCGAUCUCAUCUGAAAAACAGCCGGCCUGAAGGAUACAGGGAGCUGGGUUGGGAGGAUCUAGGAAAUUUAACACGUGGGAAAAGGCUAGAAGAACAAACAGGGCGCAGUGAGAAACAGAGAAACAGGUGAGGUACUGGAGUCAGAGAAGAGUGGGGAGGUCAUGCAUCCGGACCCCUGGAGAUGGGAACAGAAGGGCGAUGUGAAAGAACAUGGAGGUGAAUCGGUCUAUCUAAAGAGGAUUUUCUAUAUAAAAUAAUUAUGGAUGUCUAAAAAUGGACCGGCUGCCUUCUGAGGCACCGAGAACCAUCUCCUAGGGCCUCCAGCAGGAAGCAAGCAGUCCAUCUAAUGGGAAAGAGGCCCCCGGACCCUCAAUACAAAAGCAGCUGAGGGCUGCAUUUGCUCUUUUCUGUGCCUUC